rnacentral:rRNA from 1 species
UAAUACCGCAUACGCUCUACGGAGGAAAGGGGGGGAUCUUAGGACCUCCCGCUACAGGGGCGGCCGAUGGCAGAUUAGCUAGUUGGUGGGGUAAAGGCCUACCAAGGCGACGAUCUGUAGCUGGUCUGAGAGGACGACCAGCCACACUGGGACUGAGACACGGCCCAGACUCCUACGGGAGGCAGCAGUGGGGAAUUUUGGACAAUGGGCGAAAGCCUGAUCCAGCAAUGCCGCGUGUGUGAAGAAGGCCUUCGGGUUGUAAAGCACUUUUGUCCGGAAAGAAAACCUCCGCCCUAAUAUGGUGGGGGGAUGACGGUACCGGAAGAAUAAGCACCGGCUAACUACGUGCCAGCAGCCGCGGUAAUACGUAGGGUGCAAGCGUUAAUCGGAAUUACUGGGCGUAAAGCGUGCGCAGGCGGUCCGCUAAGACAGAUGUGAAAUCCCCCGGGCUUAACCUGGGAACUGCAUUUGUGACUG